GCGGAUAUAGCUUAAUGGUAGAGUGGCAAGACUUCCGACUUUGCAGGUAUGGAUUCGAUUUCCAUUAUCCGCUCCA
rnacentral:tRNA from 1 species